rnacentral:rRNA from 1 species
CCUACGGGAGGCAGCAGUAGGGAAUCUUGCGCAAUGGGCGAAAGCCUGACGCAGCGACGCCGCGUGAGGGAUGAAGGUCUUCGGAUCGUAAACCUCUGUCAGCAGGGAAGAACGGUCACUGUGCUAAUCAGCAGUGAAUUGACGGUACCUGCAAAGGAAGCACCGGCUAACUACGUGCCAGCAGCCGCGGUAAUACGGAGGGUGCGAGCGUUAAUCGGAAUUACUGGGCGUAAAGCGCUCGUAGGCGGUAUGUCAAGUCAAGGGUGAAAGCCCCGCGCUCAACGUGGGAACUGCCUUUGAAACUGGCAAACUGGAGUGUGUGAGAGGGUAGUAGAAUUCCAGGUGUAGGAGUGAAAUCCGUAGAGAUGUGGAGGAACAGCAGUGGCGAAGGCGACUAUCUGGCACAUAACUGACGCUGAGGAGCGAAAGCGUGGGUAGCAAACAGGAUUAGAUACCCGGGUAGUC